GCCUCUGCUUCACUCCUCAGCUCUUGUUUAACCACUUCCCUCCAAACAGCUGCAACUGCUGAUACUGCCUUCACCAGAUCCAACAGGCCUAUCUCAUCAUCUUGUGCUCCUUUCCAUUCACACC